rnacentral:rRNA from 1 species
GACGAACGCUGGCGGCGUGCUUAACACAUGCAAGUCGAACGGAAAGGCCCCCUUGUGGGGUACUCGAGUGGCGAACGGGUGAGUAACACGUGAGUAACCUACCCUUGACUUUGGGAUAACUUCAGGAAACUGGGGCUAAUACCGGAUAGGAGCUCCUGCUGCAUGGUGGGGGUUGGAAAGUUUCGGCGGUUGGGGAUGGACUCGCGGCUUAUCAGCUUGUUGGUGGGGUAGUGGCUCACCAAGGCUUUGACGGGUAGCCGGCCUGAGAGGGUGACCGGCCACAUUGGGACUGAGGUACGGCCCAGACUCCUACGGGAGGCAGCAGUGGGGAAUAUUGCACAAUGGGCGGAAGCCUGAUGCAGCAACGCCGCGUGCGGGAUGACGGCCUUCGGGUUGUAAACCGCUUUCGCCUGUGACGAAGCGUGAGUGACGGUAAUGGGUAAAGAAGCACCGGCUAACUACGU